CCCCAUCACAGAGUUAACCCCUGAACUUUUAGUACAGCUCAUGCAGUUUACACCGCCACCAUGAUCAAGUAGCUCAAGCAGAAAUAUGGAAGCAAUACAUCCACAAUGAAGACGCUUGCCACACGAAGCGCACUCCCUCCAACCAGAAUCCUUUGAGUGGAACAUGUCACAAAAAAUUGACAGCUCGUAUGCAGACCCGCACUUAUC
rnacentral:misc_RNA from 1 species